rnacentral:sRNA from 1 species
GAUAUCAGGGGAAGAAGGUCAGAGUCUGCCUGUGCUUGCACAAAGGCAGAUGACUGACCUUGGGCCCCGCCAAAAUAUGAGGAAGAAAUGGGGGAGGGGCCCCAUGAAUUCCGAAUAUUUUGCAGAAGUGUGGAAGCACGGAGUGCGAAACAAUUCGUCUG